AAUAAUCUUAUCUGUAAAUUUACAACAGAAUGAAAUGAUAGGAGAGAAUGUAUGCUAUAGCUUUUGUGUUUCAUUUGCAAGCUAUCACAAGGAGGAACUGGCUGGUAGUAGUAAAAGAUUUUACCUAGUAAGCUUAUGAUUCUAUACGCAUUGCCCACCUUCUCUGGUAACUUGGAAUAUCAACCUUAGCAAAGUCCUUCACAAGCCUUCCAAGUCUUCAAUACUAUACAUUCCUGCAUAGCAGAAAAUAACAUUGCAUGAGUUAGUUUACCUUUUCCUUGCUAGAGCAAAAGGAUCAAAAGAAUUACAGAGGGGAGACUUCAUCUCCCAAAAUGGGAAGCAAAUACUUCUUACUGCAGGAGAGUGUUUGAAGAUCAAGGCUUGAAAGAAAAGAAGACCACUUUUCUUAGUUUUUAAAGUAAUUUUUAAAAUUUCACUCUGGCUUAAUGGUCAUCAAGAUCAAUUCAAAAAAUUACAAAAGAAAAAAAAAAAGGAAAGAAGGAAGGAAGUACAAGGAAGGGUAAAGGGGCCAGGACCCUGGUGCCAUCUAUUAGCCAAGUGAGCUAACCUAGAGAAGGACCUUGCAAGGGGCUUGGCUGCAAAUGCUCAGAUAUCUGUCUUUUCUAGCUCACCAUCCAGCCUCCGCAUGAGGGAGCAUCUCUUGUUGGCCAUGCUACUUAACUGUACCAGCACUUCGUAGCUUGACUGCUCUGUAGUACCAAAGUUGGUAUAUGCCAUGAGAUCCUUACUCAAUCCUAGUAGAGAAAAAAGAGCCCCCAUCUGCACUUUAGACAGAUGAACUGAAUAAGUUUCAAACCCCAGAGCUAGGACUGCAGUCCUGAGACCCUAUAACCUGUAUGACUAGAGAAGUGAAACUAUGAUUUAGUUUCUUAUUAGAGCUUCGACUUCCGUAUAUUCCUAUGCCUAAGCUGGAUGAACUAAUAAACCUCACAGUAGACUGAGGCUCUUACACAAGUAGCUAUAGCUAGUCAUAGUCCAUUAUCUCUGCAAAUAAAACCUCCACGUACUUCCAACCAUUUACCUCUCCUUCCACCACUACCUCUUGAUUCCACCCUGACAGAAGCAAACUUGCAAAGUCCCAUUGCAAGGUAUUUACUUUAGCUCCCCAAAUAGGAUUGUAA
rnacentral:lncRNA from 1 species